rnacentral:lncRNA from 1 species
ACAACUUAUAGGGGCAAAGUUAUUUGUGCAGAAAUAAAUUUCACUCAGAGGUGUUUACAUGACAGAGAUUGAUAUGUGUUUUAUAUCUGCACACUGCCUGGUUUCCCAGUUUGUUUACUGCAGCCUAUCUCAGGAACCAAAUGUUACUGGAUAUGUAAUUUGGUUUCAUAUUUCCAGUACACCACAGAGUGGCUUUUUCUUUUCUGUCAUAGUUGAUCUUCACCCUUUGCCAUCUGGGGAAUUUGAACUCUAUUUUUAACAUUUCAUGAGUUGCCAAUUUAAUGCGUUUAAAAGAGGGCAGAGCAGAUGUCUAAAACAUUGAAGGUAAUGAAUUAAGUCCCACAAUUUCCAGACUACACAAAAACAAUUUGCCAUUGCCUGUAAAAUGGUAUAAUUGAGUAUUAUAAAUGUUUCCAGGCCAAGUCUUGCUAUGAAUUAUUUAGUGCAUCUGUCCUAAUUAAAGACCUAUUGGAAGAUUAAUGUCUCGUAACCUGACAAACUACUUUACUUAGUAACAAAUUAUCCAUAUAAUGACCUCAAACUAAAUUUAUAUAACCCAAGAAGCCAU